GGAGAGGUGACAGAGUGGCCGAUUGUGCACGCCUGGAAAGCGUGUGUACACCGCAAGUGUACCGGGAGUUCGAAUCUCCCUCUCUCCG
rnacentral:tRNA from 1 species